AUCCCAUCUCUGAAAGCAGCCACCUCCAUCUUGGGACACAUCUUUGUCGCCAUUCUUAACUUGAGGCAACUCCCAACUUGGGACACUGGCUAGGGCUUAGAAAGCAAUAUCAAGGUACCUAUAGUCCCCAACUCCGCCCUCUCCCCCACAGCCACUAGCCCAGCACAGUGCUUGCAGUUACAUGGCUGGUCCGUAACUCACAAAGCCUGGCCCUGAACUGCCCAAUAGAAAACAGCUCUCUGAGACAGGUGUACAGCCCCCAGAGCGCAGCCUACAAGACCUCCAAAGACAGAGGUUCCUGACUAGGAAGUAGAAAGGGAGAAGGUGCGUGAGAUACAGUUUAGAGACUAAAUUAGAGAUCAGGAUAUGUGAGGUCUACAGGCAAUAUAAGGAGAUAGGACCAGACACCCACAUAACCCAAGUGGGCCCCAAGGAGAGCCUUGGGAUAAAACAAGGGGAAAAAAACAAGGGGAAGAAAUUUCCCCCAACAAACUAAGAUGCUACAUUAUCAGAAUCCAUGGCUAGCACAGUAGAAGAAGUGUCAGAAAAGAAGGUCAAGGCUCUUGCAGUCUCCCAACAGGGACCAGCAAGUGCUAUACCCAACCUCUAGGAGCUCCACCCCCAACACCACCCUCUCACACUAAUAACCUUCAACAUCCAGAGGGUGGAGAACCCAGCAAACAACAGACCACCCCACCUAUUGGAUGAGAAGGGAAGCAGGAAAUAUACUGAACUCCAACAGAAACAAUCCUCUACUUUUCCUUCUAUUCUUUCCUUUUCUUUUCUUUUUCUUUCUUUUUUCUUUUCUCUCUCUUUUCCCACCUUCACAUCCCCAACACUUGUGAAACCAAGUACUUUUCAUGGAUUAGACUACUGAGAACUGGGAUGUCUGAUUAGCAUAUUACAGUUGUGUUCCAUAUACUUUUAUUUCCUAUUUUUACAUUUUUUAUUUUCUUAAUUUUUGUUUAUUUUUUGUUCUCUCUCUAUUGGCUUCUCACUUACUUGCCCCCCCCAUCACUUUCUCUCUUUCUCCUGCUACUAGACAACUUCUUUGAUUCCUCUUUCUUGCUUCCUAAGAUCUAAUAACUAUAUCCUCACCUCCUAUCUCUUUAAUAUCUCAUCUUACACCUCCCCCUCCAGUUCUCUCUUAGUCCACCAUCAGAAACUGUCAACCCUUUUGCAAACCUAUUGUUUAUAUUGUAGAUAAUAAGUGAGCUCAACAUUUUUGUGUAUUGUGACAAAACCAUAAACAUCUUAAUAGGAGCUAUUUGGUUUAAAGCUGUAUGUAUAUUGUUUGUAUUGGGAUCUGUUAACAUUGAUUUCCCCCAUAAAGGAGAGGUAUUGGAACUCUGCAUGACACAAUAAACCUAUAGGGUAAAAACUGUAACACCUUAGAUCCCC
rnacentral:lncRNA from 1 species